UACGUAGGGUGCAAGCGUUGUCCGGAAUUAUUGGGCGUAAAGAGCUCGUAGGCGGUCUGUCGCGUCUGCUGUGAAAACUCAGGGCUUAACCCUGAGCUUGCAGUGGGUACGGGCAGACUAGAGUGCGGUAGGGGAGACUGGAAUUCCUGGUGUAGCGGUGAAAUGCGCAGAUAUCAGGAGGAACACCGGUGGCGAAGGCGGCGCUCUGGACCGAGACUGACGCUGAGGCGCGAAGGCGUGGGGAGCAAACAGG
rnacentral:rRNA from 1 species